rnacentral:misc_RNA from 1 species
GGGGGGGGUGGGGGGGGUGUGGGGGUUCAAAUAAUUGAGUUUUUGCAUUGGUCAAGGUUCUGUGCAACAGGUUGGAUGAAGCCUUGACUUCUUAUAUAUUAGUAAGGUGCCAUAUGCCCUUAACAGGGCAUUUUCCACAUGAGAAUCUCCCCCUCUUGAUGUUUGGUCUCACUUAUCUGUUCUUCCCCUCUUAAUUUUUAGGAUGAUACAGCGUUUGAGAAACAGAGUGCCCUGUUUGCCCUUGCGGUUUCAGAUAUAGUAUUGAUUAACAUGUAAGCUAUUUGUUUGACAUGUACCUGAAUUCUUCAAAUUUAUUAGCAUUUCGUGAAAUGGUUUCCCAUAAUGCAUAUGCAUUGUCUCGCUGAGAAAUGUAUCUUAGGUGGUGUCAUGAUAUUGGCCGUGAGCAAGCUGCAAAUAAACCUCUUUUGAAGACGGUAUUCCAGGUACUCUAUUCACAGUAAAGUUGAUGAUGUAUCCAGUCAAUCUGGAUUUCAUAAGGUCCUAUGGUUGUCUUAUGUGUUUUGUUUUUUGUUUUUGUUUAUUUUUAUUUUUUGCAAGGUCAUGAUGCGAUUAUUUAGUCCACGCAAAACAACUUUGAUGUUUGUCAUACGUGAUAAAACAAGGGUGUGUUCCCCUCUUUUAUUUAGUUUGAUGUUUUGACUUCAGAAAUAUCUAUUAUUUCUUAUUCCAUUUGUUAUUAUGUUUUGAAUAUAUAUUAUUGCUUUCUGGUGCAAAGCAACCUUGGCAAAAUAUUUUAUUGUGUUGUGAUCCUUUAUUAUUUACAGACACCACUGGA